rnacentral:rRNA from 1 species
ACUCCUACGGGAGGCAGCAGUGGGGAAUAUUGCACAAUGGGCGAAAGCCUGAUGCAGCGACGCCGCGUGAGGGACGAAGGCCUUCGGGUUGUAAACCUCUUUCAGCAGGGAAGAAGCGAAGGUGACGGUACCUGCAGAAGAAGCACCGGCUAACUACGUGCCAGCAGCCGCGGUAAUACGUAGGGUGCAAGCGUUGUCCGGAAUUAUUGGGCGUAAAGAGCUCGUAGGCGGUUUGUCGCGUCUGCUGUGAAAACUCAGGGCUUAACCCUGAGCCUGCAGUGGGUACGGGCAGACUAGAGUGUGGUAGGGGAGAUCGGAAUUCCUGGUGUAGCGGUGGAAUGCGCAGAUAUCAGGAGGAACACCGGUGGCGAAGGCGGAUCUCUGGGCCAUAACUGACGCUGAGGAGCGAAAGCAUGGGGAGCGAACAGGAUUAGAUACCCUGGUAGUCCAUGCCGUAAACGUUGGGCGCUAGGUGUGGGGCUCAUUCCACGAGUUCCGUGCCGCAGCUAACGCAUUAAGCGCCCCGCCUGGGGAGUACGGCCGCAAGGCUAAAACUCAAAGGAAUUGACGGGGGCCCGCACAAGCGGCGGAGCAUGCGGAUUAAUUCGAUGCAACGCGAAGAACCUUACCAAGGCUUGACAUACAGGGAAAACUGUCAGAGAUGGCAGGUCCGCAAGGGUCCUGUACAGGUGGUGCAUGGUUGUCGUCAGCUCGUGUCGUGAGAUGUUGGGUUAAGUCCCGCAACGAGCGCAACCCUCGUUCUAUGUUGCCAGCGGAUAAUGCCGGGGACUCAUAGGAGACUGCCGGGGUCAACUCGGA